GCACGGGGCACGGCACGGGGAACGGCACGGGGAACGGCACGGGGAACGGCACGGGGAGCGGCACGGCACGGCACGGGGAACGGCACGGCACGGGCAGCGCCACCGCCACGAGGAGACCACGGCCUGCUCUGGGAAGGGUCCUCACGCAGAGGGUGGCUGGGCACUGGUAGAGGCUCCCCAGGGAAUUCGUCACAGCGCCAAGCCUGACGGAGAUCAAGAAGCGGCUGGACAACGCGUGUCGCGAGAACACGAUGCAAUUCUUGAGGAUGUUCUUUACGGGGCUGAGAGUUGGACUCGAUGAUCCUUGUGUCCCUUCCAACUCAGAAUAUUCUGUGGUUCUGUGAAGUGGCUUCACAACCAAGUCGUAUUCCAGCCAGAGCCACUGAUGUGUUCAGCCACCACAAACUGGUAUUUCUGCUAAGCAGCUUGGUCUCUACACUGCUAUUCCAUGACCUUCUCUUGUUUCCGGAAAUGGAAGUCCUUCAUUUAAACAGAGCUUCAGCCAAGUGUGCAAGCAAUUAGCUUCUACUAUAAAUUUCAUUGUAGUAUUUACAUCUAUGCACUUUAUUGCUACAUUAGUCAGUUGCUUAUAUACUGUAAUGACUAAGUUCAAUAAAAUGGUCAAUAGAUAAGCAA